GAUCUCAAAGGAUGAACAACAACGUAUUAUUGAUAAAUACUUGAAAAUGGUUUGCAGUUGCAACUUACAAGUAGUAGGUAGAGACAUGUAUAGUGGGCGCAUUGUGAACAAAGCAUCCACCACCGAAAGAAGACAUUUUCCUUAAAAGUUUAUGUCCCUCAUUUGCUUUUCUUUUUUUUUUUCUUUUUCCCACGAAAGAGACGAGUUCGUUAUAUAGCGUCCAUUCAAAGCUACCGAAAGCCAUAAACCAAGUAACUAUAUAAGUUUUGUUUCCAGCCAUAUAUAUAUGUAGUAGCAGUACAGUAUCUUUUGCAAACAUAUGAUAUAUUUAAAAUAUGAUUUGUUUAGUGGAAAUUGCUGAAUAAGAACACUUGGUAGACUUAAACCUUUAUUUCGAAUGCAAGUUGCGAGUUGGAUGAACUAACACUGAUAGACAGAACUUUUCG
rnacentral:lncRNA from 1 species